UACGAAGGGAGCUAGCGUUGUUCGGAAUCACUGGGCAUAAAGCGCACGUAGGCGGAUUUGUCAGUCAGGGGUGAAAUCCCGGGGCUCAACCUCGGAACUGCCUUUGAUACAGCAAGUCUUGAGUUCGAGAGAGGUGGGUGGAAUUCCUAGUGUAGAGGUGAAAUUCGUAGAUAUUAGGAAGAACACCGGUGGCGAAGGCGGCCCACUGGCUCGAUACUGACGCUGAGGUGCGAAAGCGUGGGGAGCAAACAGG
rnacentral:rRNA from 1 species